GAGAAUGUAAAAGGAUUGAUAGAUCAGUAAACAAGCAACAAAAAGAUGGGUGCUCAUGGUGGCCUCCAAAUAAAUACAUGGACAGGCUGCUAAAGAGGGUCAGGAUGAUGGAGAUGCAAGAGCCAAAGACAGCACAGACCAAACACCAGGCCAGAAUUCUGCAUGAGUCAGAUUGAGUAAUUUUCACUCUAGAGACCCUGGGGUGACCACCAAGGACGAAUGCAAACUCCAGUGAGUGUCUCUAAGGUAGAUCCUAAUGCAGAUGGAUGGAAUGUUGAUCCGCCUAACAUGCAAGGUAAAAGAGCAU